AAACGUAGGACGCGAGCGUUAUCCGGAUUUACUGGGCGUAAAGCGCGUGCAGGCGGUCUGUUAAGUCGUGCGUGAAAGCUCCCUGGCUUAACCGGGAGAGGUCGUACGAAACUGGCAGACUUGAGGGCAGCAGAGGAGUGUGGAAUUCCGGGUGUAGUGGUGAAAUGCGUAGAUAUCCGGAGGAACACCAGUGGCGAAGGCGACACUCUGGGCUGUACCUGACGCUAAGACGCGAAAGCAUGGGUAGCGAACGGGAUUAGAAACCCUGGUAGUCCAUGCCGUAAACGAUGUGCACUAGGCGUAGGGGGGUCAUACCCGUUGUGCCGAAGCUAACGCGAUAAGUGCACCGCCUGGGGACUACGGCCGCAAGGCUAAA
rnacentral:rRNA from 1 species